rnacentral:rRNA from 1 species
UCUUNCGCAAUGGACGAAAGUNUGACGGAGCAACGCCGCGUGAGUGAUGAAGGUUUUCGGAUCGUAAAGCUCUGUUGUUAGGGAAGAACAAGUGCCGUUCAAAUAGGGCGGCACCUUGACGGUACCUAACCAGAAAGCCACGGCUAACUACGUGCCAGCAGCCGCGGUAAUACGUAGGUGGCAAGCGUUGUCCGGAAUUAUUGGGCGUAAAGGGCUCGCAGGCGGUUUCUUAAGUCUGAUGUGAAAGCCCCCGGCUCAACCGGGGAGGGUCAUUGGAAACUGGGGAACUUGAGUGCAGAAGAGGAGAGUGGAAUUCCACGUGUAGCGGUGAAAUGCGUAGAGAUGUGGAGGAACACCAGUGGCGAAGGCGACUCUCUGGUCUGUAACUGACGCUGAGGAGCGAAAGCGUGGGGAGCGAACAGGAUUAGAUACCCUGGUAGUCCACGCCGUAAACGAUGAGUGCUAAGUGUUAGGGGGUUUCCGCCCCUUAGUGCUGCAGCUAACGCAUUAAGCACUCCGCCUGGGGAGUACGGUCGCAAGACUGAAACUCAAAGGAAUUGACGGGGGCCCGCACAAGCGGUGGAGCAUGUGGUUUAAUUCGAAGCAACGCGAAGAACCUUACCAGGUCUUGACAUCCUCUGACANCCCUAGAGAUAGGGCUUCCCCUUCGGGGGCAGAGUGACAGGUGGUGCAUGGUUGUCGUCAGCUC